UUUAUGCAAACCGCGAAUUAUUCGUUAUAAACCCAACCGGGAACAUCCAUAGGCGAUUCAACCUGCCAUACAGGACUUACCAACGGAAUCACGAGGUUUAUACCAACCGAGAACAUCCAUAGGCGAUUCAACCAGCCAUACAGGACUUACCAACGGAAUUACGAGGUUUAUACCCGAUAUAAUUCAUCACUAACCAUGUCGGGAACACCCCUUUUAGAGCUUACCAACGCCAUGAUUUAAGCUUAGUUUGCUAUAAAAUUGUUUAAACU
rnacentral:lncRNA from 1 species